AACGAACGCUGGCGGCAGGCUUAACACAUGCAAGUCGAGCGCCUCGCAAGAGGAGCGGCAGACGGGUGAGUAACACGUGGGAAUCUACCCAUCCCUACGGAACAACUCCGGGAAACUGGAGCUAAUACCGUAUACGCCCUUCGGGGGAAAGAUUUAUCGGGGAUGGAUGAGCCCGCGUUGGAUUAGCUAGUUGGUGGGGUAAAGGCCUACCAAGGCGACGAUCCAUAGCUGGUCUGAGAGGAUGAUCAGCCACAUUGGGACUGAGACACGGCCCAAACUCCUACGGGAGGCAGCAGUGGGGAAUAUUGGACAAUGGGCGCAAGCCUGAUCCAGCCAUGCCGCGUGAAUGAUGAAGGCCUUAGGGUUGUAAAGUUCUUUCACCGAUGAAGAU
rnacentral:rRNA from 1 species